GGCCUGGUGGCGGAAUGGCAGACGCCGGGGACUUAAAAUCCCCUGUUCCGAAAGGGACGUGCGGGUUCGAGUCCCGCCCAGGCCA
rnacentral:tRNA from 1 species